rnacentral:tRNA from 1 species
GCGGAUGUGAUGAAAUUGGUAGACAUGCAGGAUUUAGGUUCCUGUGCCGUGAGGCGUGUGGGUUCGAGUCCCUUCAUCCGCACCA